UUACUAUUUCACCGAAACCAGGGGUGCCAAAAAUGUGUUUUUGGAAUGACAAAGCAUCAUGAAAGUUGCAGUUCUAAAACCUCUGGGAAUCUACCUUUUGGGCAGCCGUGACGUAAGCCUUAUUCUUCUGUUUGUCCAAAAUAGUUGUCCACUAAUUGUACCUACACCAUAACUUUCCCAUGAAGGUCAGGUAGAUAGUUUGCAAAUUGUAAUUGGGUUCCUUUUAGUAUUCUGCAGUCCGAGCCCAGCCUAGGUUAGAAGUUUGUGUUUUAGGCUAAAUCCACUUAUGCGCAGCAGAAUCUUUCAUUGUCUGACCAUGAGCAUAGGUGCUGGAAAACCAGGGAAUCUUUGAGUUGGAGUAAAAUUAUUCUAAAAUAAUAAAAGCAGAGGUUUAAAAUACAGUAGAAAAUAAUAUUUAUCUGACAUGAAAGUGGUAUAGCAAAUAAUUCCAAUGAUGCAGAAAUCACUUUCUUUAGGGGAAAAAAAAAACCAAGACCAUAAAUUUCCAUUUUAGGAAAGUCCUUCCUGACUUCAAAAUAGCAGUCCAAUUUCGCCAAGCUGUUAUUAAAGUGACACUUUACAGCUCAUUGAAGUUGUCUUGAUGCAUUGUCCAGUCUCCUUAACCUUGCAAUUGUAAUUAUUGCAGUUAUUGAAAAACUGCAAUAAUUACCUUGCAGGGUUAACUCCACCUCUAGUGGCUGUCUACCAGACAAAAUGUUCUGUGUUGUUUUUUUUGUUUUUUUUUAACAUGAUGGGGUUACUGAUAUCUAUAGUAUUUUCCCCUUUUCAAGAAUUGCACCAAAGGAUUUGCAAAAAGCAGAUAUGGUGCCCAUUGUUAAAAAGGCAUCAAAAUGGCAGUCUGGAAGAUACAGACCUGUCCCCUUUUUUUAUGGAGUACCUCACCAGUCCACACAAAAGUGCUCCAAAGUAAGAGCCCGGAAAAGUAUUUUAAUUGUAUGAGUUUCUUGUAGCAGACAAACAGUGAUGUAACUAAGCAAUUACACAAAGCUCUAUGCUCAGAUUAAAAAUAUAGGCUCGGUCCUACUGAUAUUGGGGUACUUGUACGCAGUGGAUGGCUUAAAAACAAUAUGGUAAUUCUGUGUGACUAAAUCCCCAUGUUUUGUACACGAAAAACUAUUUCAAAUAGACUUUAAAGAUUGAAAUUUGUUUUAGGGAUUUUUCUUGUGUGCGCAGAUCGUUUUGUGUGCAUUAGGAUACAAAUUGUUUUUCAACCAGUGGCAGCCAAUCACACAUGUAAAAUAGUCAAAUCCAGACAUUACAUUUGACACAUUGAAUUUUGUAAGUAAGGAUGCUGGUGCACACGACUUGUCUGAUAUGAAAGAACACUUGGAAGAAAUGAAGCCAAAUUCAGCAGUGAAUUUAUAUGCCUAGUUGUGCUUAAUGACAUUUAUUAAUUUGUUUUUGUUUCUCUUUCAUAUUCUAGUGUACCUAAUUUAAUUCCAAUGUGAUGACUUCAACCAAACCACUACAUUUGAUUUAACAGUCCUUGGCUCUGAAUGCUAUAAAUACCCAUCAAAUAACGUAACUAUAUUUUAAUAUAC